CGUUAUUAGACAAACGUGACAUCUGACGGAGAUAUCAAAUGUAGUCCCUAUUUCGAAUAUAUAGAAACACUCUCUAUACACACCACUAGACGUGUCUUUUACAGUGCUAAAAACCGCUCAUCAACACCACACCAUGAAGGCCGUUUUGGUGAUUUGUUUUUUAAUUGGGCUCGCAAUGGGCGAAUAUUGCAGCACAGCAAGGGACUGCAGGAAUGAACAAUGCAACAAUGGCACCACUGUCAUCUGUCCCGAUGACAAUAUUUGCACUUGCGGAACUGUGCAAGUUGAGACUAUUUGCCGUCAGAAGUCUGAUUGUGACACAUACUUCAAUACACCGGGGCAUCCGUGUUCUAACAGUCGACGACAUUGCGUGGACGGAAAAUGUGUUUGCUAUUAGUAAACUUAUCGAGUAUGA